CCGAAAAUGUUGGUUUAAAUCCUCCCUAUACUG
rnacentral:tRNA from 1 species